rnacentral:lncRNA from 1 species
AACGAUCUGAUCAGCAGGGAAUUUUAACGGCCAUACCUUUAAGCCGUCAGGAGUCAACUCCCAGCUCACAAGAUGUGUCUACCAUACGCAUAAGAAUGCCAACUGGAGAUCCUGCAUUCAUGUACAGGCAUGAGGAAAAUCCAAGACUAAGUCCAAGCGAGCUGGAAGAGUUAGCCAAAAACGAGGAAGCUUGCAGAAAAAGAAGGGCUGAGGAGUAUGCCAACCCAC